GACGAACGCUGGCGGCGUGCUUAACACAUGCAAGUCGAACGGUAAGGCCCUUCGGGGUACACGAGUGGCGAACGGGUGAGUAACACGUGGGUGAUCUGCCCUGCACUUCGGGAUAAGCCUGGGAAACUGGGUCUAAUACCGGAUAGGACCACUGCCUGCAUGGGUGGGGGUGGAAAGCUUUUGCGGUGUGGGAUGGGCCCGCGGCCUAUCAGCUUGUUGGUGGGGUGAUGGCCUACCAAGGCGACGACGGGUAGCCGGCCUGAGAGGGUGACCGGCCACACUGGGACUGAGAUACGGCCCAGACUCCUACGGGAGGCAGCAGUGGGGAAUAUUGCACAAUGGGCGCAAGCCUGAUCCAGCAACGCCGCGUGAGGGAUGACGGCCUUCGGGUUGUAAACCUCUUUCAGCAGGGACGAAGCGAAAGUGACGGUACCUGCAGAAGAAGGACCGGCCAACUACGUGCCAGCAGCCGCGGUAA
rnacentral:rRNA from 1 species